UCUCGAUAGCGUAAAAGUUAACUAAAAUUUGCAUGGAGGUGGAACGUUUGGUUACGAUUGCCGCUAGGGGCGCUGUUCCAAGUGCAUACAAAUUUGAGUUAACUUUUACGCUAUCGA
rnacentral:pre_miRNA from 9 species